CCGUUAAUUUUCAAUGGGGUCGGAAUGUGCUGUCUGGAUCCGCACUUCCGUUCCACAAAAAUAUAGAACAUGUCCUGUUCUUGUCCGCAAUUGCGGACAAGAAAAUACAUUUUUUAUGAGAGUGCCGGCAAUGUGGGGUCUGUAAAAUGCAAAACGCAUU